rnacentral:rRNA from 1 species
AGACAAUGAUCGAAAGAUUGAUCUAGUUACUUAGAAAGAUGAAGCUUAUGAUAAUUUAAUUAUUAGAAUUUAUAUUUUAAUAAUUUAAAUGGAAAAAUAAGAAUGAAGAAUAUAAAGUCUGGUCAAUCAAUUAAUAGUGAUAAUUGAUAUGACUAUGUCCCAACCAAGAGUAGUGCCAGCAGUUGCGGUUAGACUACGGGGGCUUACGUUAACCAAUAGUUGGCUUAAAGCAUCCGCAGGUGAUAUUGAAAAAAUAUUUGAGUUAUUUUUGGAAGAUAUUGAAGAAUUAUGGGAAGAUAUAAAAAGUAGUGAUGAUAAUUCGACAUUUAAAUAUUGAAAAUUAUAUUUCUAAAAUAACUGACACUCAGGGAUUAAGGCGUGAGUAGCAAAUCGGAUUAGAUACCCGACUAGUUCACGUUGUAAACUAUGAAUGCUAUUGAUUAUAUCAUGAUUUUUUAUCAAUCUUUUAACAAUAUAAGUGAAAACUUAAGCAUUCCGCCAGACGAGUAUACUCUCAAGAGUGAAACUCAAGACAAUAGGCGGUUACAGGAAUAUGCAGUGGAUUGUGUUUUUUAAUUCGAUAAUACACGAUAAUCUUACCAUCGCUUGCAUUAUUUAUUCUAUUUAAUUUAUUUCUGCUUGUGGAUUUAAAUUAAAGGAAUAUUUAACAAAUGUUACAUCGUUGUUGCCAGUUCGUGCCUUAUGGUUUUGAUUAAUUUCUUGAACGAACGCAAUUCCUUUUCUAUACAGGUUAUAUUUAUGUUUAUGUUUAUGUUUACAUUAACGUAACUUAAUUUAACUACAUAUAGAUUUAAUUGUUAAUCAUCUUUAUGAUAACUUUUUUUUUUAGGAGCUACAACAAAUCUUGAUGACUUUCAUGUGGUGGGCUAAAGACGCAAUACAAAAUCUCGUACAAAGCCUUAUUAGACUUAAAGUAUAUAAAUAUAUACUUUUUUACUUUAAUUAUUUGGUUAAAACGAGAUAUCCAAUAUAUCUUUAGAGAUAUAUAUAUCAUUUGGAUUAUCUUCUGAAAUUCGAAGAUAUGAAACUGGAAUUGUUAGUAAUCGUAUUUUAUCGGAAUACGGUGAAAUUUAUAACUGUUUCGUACUAAUUACUCAUCAUUCGCUGGAAUUUCGAAUAUAUUAUAGUCUACAUUACCUAUUUUAUUAAUUUUAUAAUUAAUAUUAUAGAUUUAAUGUAUUGGCAGUCAUAUCCUAGAAUAACCAGUGAGAAGUUGAAAUACAGUUAC